rnacentral:rRNA from 1 species
UACGUAGGGUCCGAGCGUUGUCCGGAUUUAUUGGGCGUAAAGAGCUCGUAGGCGGUUCCGUAAGUCAGAUGUGAAAACUCAGGGCUCAACCCGGAGACGCCAUCUGAUACUGCGGUGACUGGAGUCUGGUAGGGGAACACGGAAUUCCUGGUGUAGCGGUGAAAUGCGCAGAUAUCAGGAGGAACACCGAUGGCGAAGGCAGCUCUCUGGGACGGUACUGACACUGAGACGCGAAAGCGUGGGGAGCGAACAGG